UACGUAGGGUGCAAGCGUUAAUCGGAAUUACUGGGCGUAAAGCGUGCGCAGGCGGUUCUAUAAGACAGAUGUGAAAUCCCCGGGCUCAACCUGGGAACUGCAUUUGUGACUGUAGAGCUGGAGUACGGUAGAGGGGGAUGGAAUUCCGCGUGUAGCAGUGAAAUGCGUAGAUAUGCGGAGGAACACCGAUGGCGAAGGCAGCUUGCUAAACAAACAUUGACGCUGAGGCACGAAAGCGUGGGGAUCAAACAGG
rnacentral:rRNA from 1 species